UGUGCUCUUCCGUUCUGAACGUAUGUGAUUGCAGUAAAAUUCGAUAUCAUGCUAGAAUGAACUGUACUCGAACACGUGCAUCCAGGCAUGUCAUUCUGUGUUUAAUAAAUAAGCUGACACAAAAGAGUAAGAAGACAAG